AGUGAACGCUGGCGGUAGGCCUAACACAUGCAAGUCGAACGGCAGCACAGUAAGAGCUUGCUCUUACGGGUGGCGAGUGGCGGACGGGUGAGGAAUACAUCGGAAUCUACUUUUUCGUGGGGGAUAACGUAGGGAAACUUACGCUAAUACCGCAUCCGACCUACGGGUGAAAGCAGGGGAUCUUCGGACCUUGCGCGAUUGAAUGAGCCGAUGUCGGAUUAGCUAGUUGGCGGGGUAAAGGCCCACCAAGGCGACGAUCCGUAGCUGGUCUGAGAGGAUGAUCAGCCACACUGGAACUGAGACACGGUCCAGACUCCUACGGGAGGCAGCAGUGGGGAAUAUUGGACAAUGGGCGCAAGCCUGACCCAGCCAUACCGCGUGGGUGAAGAAGGCCUUCGGGUUGUAAAGCCCUUUUGUUGGGAAAGAAAAGCAGCAGGUUAAUACCCCGCUGUUCUGACGGUACCCAAAGAAUAAGCACCGGCUAACUUCGUG
rnacentral:rRNA from 1 species